AUAAUGUUGUCUUUGGUUGGGAUUUUCCAUAUGACACCAAGUGGCAAGUAUAAACAUAAAGUGCAUUGAAAACAAAUGUUUGAUUAUUUAGUUUAUUGAACUUGCUAUAAUAAGAUUUAAUUUUUAAAAUCAAAAUAAUUCCCGUACUAUUUAGGUACUACAAGUUACAAGUUUUACAUUAUACAGAGUUAGUAGUUUGUCUGAUGAUAGAUAUUACAUGAAAUCAUUUGAAAAGAUUUAUUCACUAUGGUUGAUAAUACUGAAGGUAAUGAACGAAUUCGACAGAUUGAUGAUGAGGUAACAGAGGAAUGGAGUGACAAAAUGUGUAUCCGAAUAUCAUUAGAAGAUAAUUUUCCUGCUAUAGUUAAAGAUAAAACUAUUCAAAAGGGCAUCAUAAAUAGAUUUCUUAAUUUUUAUUUAUCUGGGAAAGUGCAAAAAGGUUUAAACGCAAGAGACAUUAUUUUUGCAGUAAUUUCAAUAAUACCAUAUUCAUUAAAAACAGAGGAGGUAAUUUGGAAUGAUAAUGAAUUUAGUGAUGGCGGAAAACUAUUUUUUUGACCCCGGAUGAUAAAUUAAAGACAGAUAUAAACAAUAUUCUUACUCAACGCCUCAAAAUAAAAUACGAUCAGCUUGAAAAAAA